GUGUUGUAUGAAAGGAGAGAAGUUUAACACUCUCCAUAAAGAUGGAAGAGGUCCUACUGGCCUUUACAAUAAAAAUGGGGAGAAGGCAUUGCCUUUUACUCUGUGGUAUAACAUCAUCGAAAGAU